GUGCCAGCAGCCGCGGUAAUACCGGCAGCCCAAGUGAUGGCCGAUUUUAUUGGGCCUAAAGCGUCCGUAGCUGGCCGCACAAGUCCAUCGGAAAAUCCACCCGCCCAACGGGUGGGCGUCCGGUGGAAACUGUGUGGCUUGGGACCGGAAGGCGCGACGGGUACGUCCGGGGUAGGAGUGAAAUCCCGUAAUCCUGGACGGACCGCCGAUGGCGAAAGCACGUCGCGAGGACGGACCCGACAGUGAGGGACGAAAGCCAGGGUCUCGAACCGGAUUAGAAACCCCGGUAGUCC
rnacentral:rRNA from 1 species